AGAGGAGAUGAUAUAAGAGACUCACGUCCACGGCCGCGCCCCUCGAACUUUCGCUUUCCCUCUUCUCCAGGAAGAGCGCACCGACAAAGGGGACAAAGGAUGACUGCUGCCGGAGACGGAACCGGGGGUAGGGUGAACGGGCGGGCGGCGACGAUCUCGUCGGGGUCGAGGAAAUUAGUGCAGAGUCUUAAGGAAAUCGUCAACUGCUCCGAACCGGAGAUCUAUGCCAUGUUGCGCGAGUGCAAUAUGGACCCUAAUGAGGCCGUCCAAUGCCUCCUAUCCCAAGAUACUUUUCAGGAGGUCAAAAGCAAGCGUGACAAGAAAAAGGAGGUCAGAGAGUUUCCAAAUCUAGAUCUCAAACAGUCAACACCAAUUCAGGUCGUGGAUCUAAGGGUAGUAGUGAUCAUAGGGGCCAUCAUCAGUCCAGUUUGACUGAAUAUGAAGUUGAUAAAAGUAAACAUAUGCACAAGAAACAAAAUGAUAUUACUGUUGCUCCUGUCUCAUCAGUUGUGGAAUCGGCAACAAUAAUAAAUCCUACAAAAAGACCAACUGUCGAGAGGUGAUUUCUUCCUUAAUAUUCAGGAAUAAAUUUAGCACGUUUCAUAACAAGGCAAAAAUUUCCACUCAUUUAACCAAGAUCAGGGUCUGAAUCUCUUUUUUUAUUAUUAUUCAAAAAAUAUUCUAGUUUUCCUUUUUUGAUGACAUUGGAGUAAAUUGAUCCUAUUAUUUCUAGAGUAUGUUGUUAUUUUUUCCUUUUAAAAAAAAAUUAGAAGACACUUGCUUAGCUUGGUUGCUGUUAAAGAUGAUUCUCUUCCCUGAUUUGUUUUUCUCACAUCUUUUAAUCCAUCAUUUUUUUUUCUGGUUACACACAGCAUUUUGGAAGAACUGUAAUGACAUUGGUGUCAAAUUCUUGUUCUGUUGUUUUAUUAUAUUUUCUCUGCUGACACACAAGUGAGCAUAAUUUUACUAAGCUAACCUGCCACAAUUCUGUUAAAUUAGUGUCAUAUAUUUGUUACCAUACAGAUUAGUUAACUAAUAUUUUGGUCUAAAAUUAUAUCAAUAUUAUCAUAUUAUAUGAUAUACACAAUAAAUUCAGAUAUGGUGUGGAAUUUUUGGUGGUUUUAUAUAAAAACUUCAAACCCACCCAGUGGAACCCGAUUUCUAAAUACAUGAACCUGAAAAAACAUGAUUUUUCAAAGCGGUUUAGUUUAGCUGAUUUGUAUUAUCUAAUAGGUUCCUAAUUUAGACCAACUUUGCAAAUAAAUUGUGAGGCAUGCUCAUCUUUCUUGAGCUGGAAAUUUUAAACCAAUCAUAACUUUUGAAAUACGUUGGAUUACUUCUUGAUGAUGGCUUCAGUUCCACCUGGAGGCAAAUAUGUCUCAGCUUCUCAGGACUUACUGGACUGCUAGCUUUUCAUCUAUAUGUGGAUUUUGGACAGUUUGAGUGGGUAAUUUAUUGCAUCCAAUCUAUUUAUCAGAGUCCCACAAUAGCUAUUAGGUAUAGUCUGUUAAUGAUAGCCAAGUGAUUUUACUGUAGAAGUGUACACUGGAGAAUCUGAUUUCCUGGAUCUCAUUCUUGCCCUAAUGUUACUGAAGCAAAGAUUUGGCUUUUUGGGGCUUCAGUGAUCUUACUGGCUGCUUUAUUUUCUUGCAGCAGUUUUGCUCCCAUUAAAGAUACAAUGCAUAAAACAAAAAUUGCUGAUGCAAUUUCUACACCUUUGCAAUGUUCAUCUAGUUUUCAAAACAGUUAGUUAGGGAAUCCAGGACAUGUUUCUAUGGCUGAUAUUGUCCAGACGGGCAGACCUGAAGGGAAACAAAGUACUGUGCCUGCUGUUGCAAGUGUAAAUUCCUACAGGUCACACAGUGCGGUAAUAACAAACAUGUCAAACCACGAUGCAAAACAAUCCUUUGCUACAUCUCUAACAUCAGAAUCAGAAGAAAAGGUAGACACUCCUUUGAAGAAUUUAAUCAUUUUUCAGAUAAAAGCCAUGGCAUUGGAACUGCUGAACAUCAUCACAUUUCCAAUUAUGGGUGGUUCCUAGUCCAAGAGCAACCUGCAGAAAGUGUGUUAACCACUAUGGAGAUAACUUCACCAGCUUAUACUAACCCAUCAGAACUGGCAGCACCUAAUUUGAUGGUUGUUUGUUUGGACUUGCAAAUAGAUCCUUGUUCAAAAGAUAUCCAAGACCAUGAUGGAAGAGCAAGUGUUAAACCUCAGGCAAUAGAAUCCAGACCCAUAUCUGCAUCAGAAAGGCAGUUAGAUGUUGAAACGUCUGAAGAUGCUUCCUAUUUCGAUGACAGAUUAUUGAGUAUGGAUUCCUACCAAUCUGUAGAUUUUGAAUUUAAUUGCCAUAAAGGUAAAAGUUAAUCACUUAGGAUCCUUCUCUUUCCUGUCAUAUAUCUUUUCUGUUUUAUGUUUGUUAAGAGAAUGAGAUUUAUUAUUGCUUUUACAGAUAGAAAUUUGGUUUAUAUAGAAAUUGUAGCUGAAGGUGCAAACUAACUUAGUUUGGUUGGGACUUUCAAAAUGGCUGUGUUUAUAACUUGGGUUUGAAUCCUACCUGCUUCAUUCAUUAGUAGGUUUUAUCUACUUCUUUCCAUUCAAAUAAGUUUUGAAAUCAGAAAACAGGAUGUGCAGUUAUCCAUUGGCAAUGCCAACUAUUUGAGGCCAAAUACAUUGAUGUCUAUAUUACUAGAAAGAAAACACAUCAUGGAUGUAGUAAAAGGCAAAUGUGCCAGUCUAAAUCUAAUAGAACAAAAAUUUCAUAGGGGUUGGAAAUGUAGAUGAUCUAUCAUGAAUUUCGAGAGGCUAACAAUCCACCAUUGCUUCUGCUUUGAAGGAAUAGAUAUUGACCUAAAUUUGAGCGGAUAGUUAAUUAAGUCAUAUAACAAGAUUUAGAGAACUAGAACAAUUCAAGAUGGAUCUAGGAGACUAUUUUAUUAAUUCAUUUGAACUGAUGUACAACUUGUGAACAAUUAUUGCAACUUCAAUUAAUGCUUACCCAGACAAAAAUAGUUAAGAUGGCAUGCACUUCUAAUGGGCUUAUAGAUCUAUAUUGCACAAGAUGAUUAGAGUAGUAGGGAAAGUGACAGUGAAAGAUAUUUAAAUUACCUUUUGAUUGAGUAAUGUUAUAAUGUUAGGCGGAGUAUAAUGGCGGUGAAAGAUGAAGAACUCAAUUCAUUGGGACCAAAAAAUUGGUCUGCAGCUACAAACUUUACUGAGCUGAGGAUGGUUUGGAGAUUUCUUCAACUGCCGCAACACUAAGGCAAUUAAGUGUACAAGGGGGAGGGGAACACAAAAACUAAGGCUGGGCCUGCAUUAAUAAUUCCUGACCAUCUCAGGGUUACAAAUGCAGAUUGUUCCCAACUAAGUUUUGGUAGUUUUGGGGCUGGUGCAUUUUCCAGAUCCUUUUCGUCAAAGCCACCAGAAAGCAACUUGAAAGUGGCCCCAGCUGUAAAUGAUGAUUAUCAAAUUGAUGAGUCAGAUUCGAGAAAUCAUGAGUACCACAGCAAUGAGCAGUUCAAGCUACUCUCACUGAGAAUGUAGCUUCCAUAACUUGCACUGCUUCAGAAAAUGUUGACGUGCCUUCAAUUUUACAACCUGAAGGUUCAUUGGAUGCUACAAAUGAGUAUGACUUUCCGUCAGUUUCCAGUUAUGGGUUGCCAAGCUCCACACAGCCAAAUGCUACAGCUCACACCUAUCUGCAUGGGAAUUCACAAAUACAAAAUCUUUCACCUUUUCAAGUCUAAUGCAAGCCAAUUCUCUACAAAACAACAUGUUAGCAACAAGCUUUCCACAUCUUCAAGACGUUGAUCACCCGUUGUCUCCCCUGCUUGCAAACCAGCAUGUAUCGACGAGGUAUGGCACUACAGUGUCAUCUAUCGGUGGAUCAUCCUCUUCCAUGCCCGAGGUCUUGAAACCCACAAUGUUUCUGAAUCCUCAAUCGGCUCCUGUAUCCUUGCCUACAACCACCCUGCUUACAAGCUCUGCAUUCCCUCAGGCCCUUCCUGUUCCGCAUUACUCUCAGCCAGCUAUUCCAUUAGGGCAUUUUGCUAAUCUGUUAAGCUAUCCCAUUCAACCACAGAGCUACCCAUACUUGCCUCUGAUACAACAAACAUUGUAUGUGGUCAGCCCAUUCCAUCCAUCUGCUGUCUUACAUAAUGCCGGCAUGAAGUAUUCGCAACUUCAAUACGAAAGCAACUUACCCACACCAAGUUUGCCCCAGGCUUCUGCCAUAUCUCAUUAUGGAGGGUUCGGAAGCUCAUCUAGCAUUCCUGGAGGCUUGAACCUCACCCACACAACUGCUUCUAACACGAUGAUUGGGAUUAAUGAAGCUCUGAGCCAGCAGUACAGAGAAGCGAGUCAUUUCUUAUCCCUUCAGCAGGAGGCUUGCAAAGAGAACAUUUACAGAAUCCUACCGAACUGAAUCUCAAUGGUUCUCAGACCACCACACAAUCGCAACCAGCAAGCCAAAUCUGGCAACAAGGCUACUAAGCCGUCUCCUAAGUUUUCAAAGUUUUUUAGAGGGCUCAAGUAGGUUGAUCCCAGACAUAUGCCUAAGAGGCUGAGGGCUGUGCGUCUUUAGAGUUGGAGCGCGUGUUCUAAUGGUUAGUGAUGUGUUAGAUGGCUUUUCUGUGCAACAUUGAACUCUUAUUUAACAAAAGUUGUUCUCUCUGGUUAUGAAAUAUUACAAAAUAUUUCACGAAGUGAAA